rnacentral:tRNA from 1 species
CGAUCGUGUAGACGGUGCGUCCGUCGCGCUCGGAACGCGACGCGAUCAGGGUGUUGCGCCGCACCUCCCAUUCGA